GAUGAACGCUAGCGGGAGGCCUAACACAUGCAAGCCGAGCGGUAUUGUUUCUUCGGUAAUGAGAGAGCGGCGUACGGGUGCGUAACACGUGUGCAACCUGCCUUUAUCUGGGGGACAGCCUUUCGAAAGGAAGAUUAAUACUCCAUAAUAUAUUGAACGGCAUCGUUUAAUAUUGAAAGCUCCGGCGGAUAGUGAUGGGCACGCGCAAGAUUAGCUAGUUGGUGAGGUAACGGCUCACCAAGGCGAUGAUCUUUAGGGGGCCUGAGAGGGUGAUCCCCCACACUUGUACUGAGACACAGACCAGACUCCUACGGGAGGCAGCAGUGAGGAAUAUUGGUCAAUGGGUGCAAGCCUGAACCAGCCAUCCCGCGUGAAGGACGACUGCCCUAUGAGUUGUAAACUUCUUUUGUAUAGGGAUAAUCCUACCCUCGUGAGGGUAGCUGAAGGUACUAUACGAAUAAGCACCGGCUAACUCCGUG
rnacentral:rRNA from 1 species